rnacentral:rRNA from 1 species
AGAGUUUGAUCCUGGCUCAGAAUGAACGUUGGCGGCGUGGAUUAGGCAUGCAAGUCGAACGAGUCUCUGGGGGGUAACUCCUAGAGGAAAGUGGCGAAAGGGGCAGUAAUGUAUGGGUAACCUACCUUGAGGUCUGGGAUAGCCAUUCUAACGGAUGGGUAAUACUGGACGGCCUGAGUUGUCGGCAUCGAUGAUUUAGUAAAGGUUACGCCUCGAGAGGGGCCCAUAUGAUAUUAGCUAGUUGGUGAGGUAAUGGCUCACCAAGGCAAAGAUGUCUAGCGGGUGUGAGAGCACGACCCGCGUCAUUGGCACUGAGACACUGGCCAAACUCCUACGGGAGGCUGCAGUCGAGGAUCUUCGGCAAUGGACGAAAGUCUGACCGAGCAACGCCGCGUGUGCGAUGAAGGCCUUCGGGUUGUAAAGCACUGUCGAGGGGAAACAAGCCGUAAGGUUGAGUGACCCCUGGAGGAAGCACGGGCUAAGUUCGUGCCAGCAGCCGCGGUAAGACGAACCGUGCAAACGUUAUUCGGAAUCACUGGGCUUAAAGGGCGCGUAGGCGGGUGAUCAAGUCAAUGGUGAAAUCCUCCAGCUUAACUGGAGAAGUGCCUUUGAUACUGAUUGUCUAGAGGGAGGUAGGGGCAUGUGGAACUUCAGGUGGAGCGGUGAAAUGCGUAGAUAUCUGAAGGAACGCCAGUGGCGAAAGCGAUGUGCUGGACCUCUUCUGACGCUGAGGCGCGAAAGCUAGGGGAUCAAACGGGAUUAGAUACCCUGGUAGUCC